GCCAGUGCUUCCCGCAGAGACACCCUGAGAUAGACAGUGUCCAGGGAGGUCACCCAGUGCGUCACCUGGCAGGUAACCUCUAGGGUGGCAGAGGCCACUGAUUCCAGUAACUGGAGACAAAGGAAACGUGCCCCAGCGGCGGUGUGGGCUUUUUGAGGAAAAGCCCUGCCCCAUAAAUGACGGCCCGGGUCCUGGUGACGGCAGAUGCCGUCCACAGCCGCUGCUGCCAGCUCUCUUGACCUGUGACCUCCGACUUCAUUUUCCCCGCACGGAUCAGACCUGGGCACAAGAUGUCCGGAAGCCACCCAGCGACCCCAGACAGGCAGCACAGGCCCUGAGCACACGAGGCCAACAUGGAGCAAGAGUAAACCACACGCCCUGAGCCUCGGAGCAGGGGCCUCAGUCUCCUGUGCGGUGGGUGCUGUCCCAGAACAAGACAUGUGCUUUUAGGUGCAUAAAAUAAAAUGCAUGGGCUUACAAGGAAAAUGAAUGCCAUUGAAUAGUUGUCAGAACACUGACAGUCAAACCUGUGGUGGUGGUAUACGCCUGCUUCUUAUUAUCAAUGCAUUAAGUGAGAAGAUCUAGCCACAGGUCUGCCAGUUGCCAGAAUUCAGAAGUUGUCAUAACCAGAAACAACCUCUCGGCAUCUCUGCAAAAAGUCCCUGGAAUGGCUACAACUCCUGGGGCUUGUCGCCUCUGUUUCUGAUGGAAGGAACUGCUAACCUUUGUAGAAGUUGGUGAAAUUAAAGGUGUGCUGGCUCCCCACUCAAGGUCACGGACCCGAGGUAGGGACCCCCUGCAGUGGUUGGAUGCAUGGUAAAGAACACCAUUUCCUUGAAAGUUUGGUUUGCAAAAGCUGGGGUCCUGGGGUGCAGCAAUAAUCCAGGCAGGAAAACCCCCUCCUCAGGGGCCUAUGGUCCCGGGGGUGACAGGACAGGAGUUAAUUCAGGAAAGCCUCUACUUAAUUUAGUGGAAUAAGUGUUAAGGAGAAAGGUGACAAAGGUGGGCUGCCCUCCUGGGCACCGGAUGGCCAGGAAGAGCCGCACUGAGGGCACAGCCUGCAGGUGCCCCACAGGGUCCUGCGUGCUGACCGGGGAAAAUCCUAGCAACUUUCUCCAGGAAACAUCGUUUCCCAGGAAAACCAAAAGCCGUAAGAAACAUUCUCCAUGAAGAGCAAUGCUGAUUUUUUUUAAUGCUUUGAUAAAGCCACAGGACUUUUUUUUUAUAACAGCUUUAUUGAGAAAUA